GCCCUGGUGGCAUAGUGGUUAAGUGCUUCGGCUGCUAACCAAGAGGCCGGCAGUUCGAAUCUGCCAGGCA
rnacentral:tRNA from 1 species